AUUGAACGCUGGCGGGAUGCCUUACACAUGCAAGUCGAACGGAGUGGCGAACGGGUGAGUAAUGUAUCGGAACGUGCCCAGUAGCGGGGGAUAACUACGCGAAAGCUUAGCUAAUACCGCAUACUUUUGGAGCGGCCGAUUUCGGAUUAGAUGGUUGGUGGGGUAACGGCUUACCAAGGCGACGAUCCGUAGCUGGUUUGAGGGGACGACCAGCCACACUGGGACUGAGACACGGCCCAGACUCCUACGGGAGGCAGCAGUGGGGAAUUUUGGACAAUGGGGGAAACCCUGAUCCAGCCAUCCCGCGUGGGCGAUGAAGGCCUUCGGGUUGUAAAGCACUUUUGGCAGGAAAGCGGUACCUACAGAAUAAGCACCGGCUAACUACGUGCCAGCCGCCGCGGUAAUUC
rnacentral:rRNA from 1 species